GACGAACGCUGGCGGCGUGCUUAACACAUGCAAGUCGAACGGAAAGGCCCUGCUUGCAGGGUCCUCGAGUGGCGAACGGGUGAGUAACACGUGGGUGAUCUGCCCUGCACUUCGGGAUAAGCCUGGGAAACUGGGUCUAAUACCGGAUAGGAGCCAUUUUUAGUGUGAUGGUUGGAAAGUUUUUUCGGUGUAGGAUGAGCUCGCGGCCUAUCAGCUUGUUGGUGGGGUAAUGGCCUACCAAGGCGGCGACGGGUAGCCGGCCUGAGAGGGUGGACGGCCACAUUGGGACUGAGAUACGGCCCAGACUCCUACGGGAGGCAGCAGUGGGGAAGAUUGCACAAUGGGCGCAAGCCUGAUGCAGCGACGCCGCGUGGGGGAUGACGGCCUUCGGGUUGUAAACUCCGUUCGCUAGGGACGAAGCUUUUUGUGACGGUACCUAGAUAAGAAGCACCGGCUAACUACGUG
rnacentral:rRNA from 1 species